rnacentral:rRNA from 1 species
GGGGAAUUUUGCGCAAUGGGCGAAAGCCUGACGCAGCGACGCCGCGUGAGUGAUGAAGGCCUUCGGGUUGUAAAGCUCUGUGGGAGGGGAAGAAUAAUGCACGGCGAAUACCUGUGCAGAUGACGGUACCCUCUUAGCAAGCACCGGCUAACUCUGUGCCAGCAGCCGCGGUAAUACAGAGGGUGCAAACGUUGUUCGGAAUUACUGGGCGUAAAGCGCAUGUAGGCGGCUUUGUAAGUCGGAUGUGAAAUCCCUCGGCUCAACCGGGGAAGUGCAUUCGAAACUGCGGAGCUGGAGUCUCGGAGAGGAAGGUGGAAUGCUUGGUGUAGAGGUGAAAUUCGUAGAUAUCAAGCGGAACACCGGUGGCGAAGGCGGCCUUCUGGACGAUGACUGACGCUGAGAUGCGAAAGCGUGGGUAGCAAAC